rnacentral:rRNA from 1 species
UACAGAGGGUGCGAGCGUUAAUCGGAAAUACUGGGCGUAAAGCGCACGUAGGCGGCGCAGCAAGUCAGGGGUGAAAUCCCGGGGCUCAACCCCGGAACUGCCCUUGAAACUGCGGUGCUAGAAUUCUGGAGAGGCGAGUGGAAUUCCGAGUGUAGAGGUGAAAUUCGUAGAUAUUCGGAAGAACACCAGUGGCGAAGGCGACUCGCUGGACAGACAUUGACGCUGAGGUGCGAAAGCGUGGGGAGCAAACAGG